GGUAAUUCCAGCUCCAAUAGUUUAUAUUAAAGUUGUUGUGGUUAAAAAGCUCGUAGUUGGAACCUGGCAUGCAGGGGGCGGUCCAUUAUUUGAUGCGACUGCCCCAUUUGCGUGUUUUUUUAGGCGGAAUUCCUUGGGUGCUCUUCACCGAGUGUCCUUGGAGGCCGCCAGGUUUACUUUGAAAAAAUUAGAGUGCUCCAAGCAGGCUCUACACGCCUGAAUAUUCGUGCAUGGAAUAAUGGAAUAGGACGUCGUUCCUAUUUUGUUGGUUUUAGGGAUUCGACGUAAUGAUUAAUAGGGACAGCCGGGGGCAUUAGUAUGCAGACGACAGAGGUGAAAUUCUUGGACCGUCUGCCGACUAACUACUGCGAAAGCAUUUGCCAAGAGUGUUUUCAUUAAUCAAGAACGAAAGUUAGAGGUUCGAAGGCGAUCAGAUACCGCCCUAGUUCUAACCAUAAACGAUGCCAGCUAGCGAUCUGCAGGCGUUUUUUUUGUAGGCCCUGCAGGAAGCUUCCGGGAAACCAAAGCAUUUGGGCUCCAGGGGAAGUAUGGUUGCAAAGCUGAAACUUAAAGGAAUUGACGGAAGGGCACCACCAGGCGUGGAGCUUGCGGCUUAAUUUGACUCAACACUGGAAAUCUCACCAGGCCCGGACACCGGCAGGAUUGACAGAUUGAGAGCUCUUUCUCGAUUCGGUGGGUGGUGGUGCAUG
rnacentral:rRNA from 1 species